AUAAGGUUAUUCACAGACUUAUCAGUUAAAACCACAUUUUAUUUUUAAUCGUUUGAGCUGCUAUAUAUAGUGAAUUUAUUAUUGUGAUAUCGAUAUAACUUGGUUAUCUUUUUUAUUGCUGUUCCCUUUCUAUUUCCCUAGUACAUAUUGUGUGUUUUUCUUUGUGUUUUUGCCCCCCCCCCCCAAAAAAAAAAAAAUCUAUCAUAUUCAUCAGAGUUUUUAAGUUAAACAUACUAUAGGUGACUCGUUAUUAAUUAAGUUUAGUUUGUUCCGUUUCCUAGAGAUAUUGGACAUUAAUAUUUAUUGGCGUCCAUAAACAACGUCAUGAUUGGCGAAUUCUGUGCUCAAUCAUUUAGAAGUACCAUAGUCGUAAAAAGAGAAUGAUAUGAACGUACCUGUUGUCAAGGAUACCGGAAGACAAGUCUGUCGGUUGCAGAUGUAAAUGACGUCAUCGUUCAUUGAUACUCUGUUAUCGGCAAUAAUGCCUUACUCCACUCCAAUAGAGCCUAUCAGGGAGUUGAUUAUUUCUGCAAAAGAGAAGAGAGGGGGUAAAAGCAAUCACACGGAAGUGGAAAACAAAGUGAAGACUGCUCACUUCCAUCAAGAGAUGAGAACAGUAGGUUUUGUGCGCUUUCUAAUGUACUGGGGAGUUGUAUUCAACAACUUUUUUUUUCACAGCUAUAUCAAUUACUAACAUUUGUGUAUAUUCCGGGAUAGCGGUCUUUCAGCAUAAUAAAUGCAUAACAAAUGGACGAACUUUACUAGCGUAUCUUAUCACGGCAUUUAUGGAUUUACCCGGACCUGGGGAACGUCUCCCAGACAGUCGAUGGCCUGGUUGGUGAAAACAAAGGGGACCCUCUCUGGGCAGUAGGACACGGCGAAUGACAUGGCGACGGCCCUGCUCACUGCAGCUGCAUCAAGUGCAUCCUGUGAAUAAAGCAUGUAUCUCCAGAACCGGUAGCAUACCGAAAAGCAACCCAAACUGAUAAAACAAGAACUGCUUCAAGAACAUUUCAUCUGGGGCGAUGUCAUGAGCCAGAAGACAUAGUGUGAGCCACCCCCCCCCUCUCCCCCCCAAAAUGGGAAAGUGCUAAUUAAAGGAACCUGUGUUUGGGGAAGUGCCCCCCCACCCCCCAUUUUGAGGGGUGCUGGGCUUUUGUGGGGCAGUGUUUUUGUUUUCGCUGAUGAGGCUUUCAUGCCAUAUCCUCUUACCUUUGUACUCUCAGCAGCUAUGUUUCAUAAACACCAGGCGGAAAACAUCCUCUCCUGUUUGAAAUUUAGAUCGCCCGCUCUCGGCUCCCCGCAUUCCUGACGUGCUCUGCAUCCAUUCUGCGCCUCCUCAACCCAACGUAUUAGAUUUCCUCAAACAUCUCCGCUGCUCCUAAGUGACUGUGCGCCCUGUGCCUGUCACGUACAAACAUACCAUUCUUCUACAGUUUCCCUCAGUAAUUAUGCACCCAACUGUCCCUGUCACACUCUUGGUCAAUGGAAAUACUUGAGAUAAAUCUACGAAAAACCUGCUAAUUAACUGGAGGGGAUACCAACGUAUAUCCUGCACGCACUAUGUCUACUUUGUCUACUUUUUCUUUGAUUCAAGUUCGACGUCAUUUUGGAGGCUUGUGGGUAAGAGGAAGUUCUACCCCAGGUGAAAAAGAGAAGCACAAACUCCUCCCUCUUCCGCCACGUGGAUGCUGUGACUAGUCGGACUGAAGGCAUCUCCCUGUAGUUCAGGGUGGACAUGGGUGUUUGCGCCCCUUACACCAGCUUACGGCAGCAUGCUGGACUGGGCUGGUUUCAGGUAGCACCCCCCGAUAAAUCUCAGAAAGACCCCCUCUGCUAUUUCUGAUUGUAAUGACGUGUAUAUGUGGCUUCUCUUCCCUAGACGAGCCAGACAUGGUGUUGAAAGCCACAUUCACUUGUGAGCAGUUCAUCGCUUAAUCUUAGGGCCUCCCUGGCCCUUGUUGGCCUCUGUAUUCACCGCAUCCCCCCACAGGGGGCUGGUCACCUGCCAUGAGUGUGGGGUGAAGGUAAGUAAAAAGGCAGCCUUGCUGGAGUCAGCAGGGAGUCCGACAAGGAGAAAUAAAUGAAAAUAAAGAGGUUUGGAGUCACUGAACCAGCGACUGGGACGGCGACACAUGCCAUAUGAGAUUCUUCCUCAAUGACGACCCCCUGUGAGUCAGCAAAGGCCGAGCAGUGAGUAAACGGUAUUACCAGCCCCCUCCCCCGUGACAGGAGUGUCCGGUCGUGAGCAUCCCGUCGCUGGCCGUGCUGAGCUGGACUGAAUUUGUUUGUGGGAUUCGGUUUUAACAGGCUGCCAUGACUAAUCACUCUCUGGGCAGCGUGGCAUGUAAUUACUCUGCCCAAACGCUGGCUUUUCACAGAUUAGCGCUGCGUGGCCUGAGCUGCACCUCCCCAUCUUUCGUCGCCACCCCCCCAACCCCCACCCCUCCUCAGCUCACAACCCCCCCUUGGGGUCAUGUGGACGGAGAAGUUAAGCUUCUCCCCUUAUUUUGAAAACUCCCCCAUAUUUUGGUGUGUCAGGGCUGGGGCCCCGUUUCCGGCCGUUAACCGGCUUUUUGAAACCAGACCUGGGCUGAGGUCUGUCAUGGCCUUAGUGAGAAUGCUGAGACGGCAUACAUCAGUGCGCUCUGCAAACGUCCCCCUCAGCACGGGAAGAGAUGGAUGAACUGCGUGUUUUAUUUUUCAUUAGAACAAUCCAAGCUGCACACUUGAAGUCACAUCCACUAAGCUGACUGCUUGCUGGCUCUUCUCUUUGUCUCCCAGCUCACCCCCCUCAUCCCAUCACCGUGGAUACGACAACAAGCAGAAGCGAUGCUAAUUCAUCCUGAGGUGGGAGCACAUGGGGCAACAGUGCGUAGACUGCUGAAGACAGGAGCUUGACAGCUGCAUCAAAGGCCGGUGUGUAAACGUGAAGAGAUGGAGAAACAACCCCACCCCCACCCCCCACACUCACCACGGGGGCUCCGUUGAUCGAGGAAUCCAGGGCAUGGGGGGAAGAAAAUGCCGUGGAGAUGAAACAGAUGACAAAGGCGGCUGUAUUGUGGAGGUAGGGAUCACACAGGCAGAUGAGGUGAGUGAUAGACAAUAGCUGAUGUAAAAUUCCUUCACAUCUUCCCUGAUUCGUAUUCACAGAUUUCCUCUGCUCUCCGCCACACUCGCACUCGCACUGCCUGUCUCUUUUCUUCUCCGUCCCUUUCAUUUCCUCACCUUGCAUGUAGCCUUUACUCCCCUAAAAUAUUUGCUGUCUUUGUUCUCCGUCUAAAUGAUGCGUCUGAUCACCCGCAAUUCAAAGCUUUCCUGACAGAGUUUUUUUUUUCUCUCUGUCUCUCUCUCUAAUCUGUUUCUUCAGACUUCAUUUCCCUCCAUUUGAAUGUGAUUUUUCCCCCUGGAGUAGUACUUUAGCUCUUUCGAUGAUAUGACAUUAAUUGUGCAUUUGUUUACAUGAUUGUUUGCUAAAAAACUGGGUUAAAACCAAAGGUGGAAAAACAACAUAAAAAUGAAUAUUUGCAGCUGAUAAAUGCAUAAAUAACUGUCAAUAGAACCUGAAAGCCUUCUUCAUCUAAUGAAAGAGAUAUGUGAUUGUACAUUUGAUCUUUAAAAUUUCCAUAAUUUGGGUAGCAAAAAAAAAUUUAGGCUUUCAUCCCAGGAAUGUCAGCCAUCCACCUUGAUUUUGAACCAGGAAGAAUCAUUCUCUAAGUAUUACACCAGUAGCUGGAUUAUAAACAUUAAGGUCAAGAAACCAGCCAAUCAGAUCAGUCCUCUUAUCUCAAAUAGUGGUCGGCCAUUUUCUGGCUUCUUUACCUCUGUGCCGACCUGCUACAGAGAGGAAAAAAGUACAUUGCCUCUAAUUGUGGGAGUGGUUAAAAUGAACAGGGGGACAGGCCCCCCCCACCGCCAGACUUGUGCAUAGUUACGCAGGUGCCAGCAUUCGCUAAAUCAGUCCCCGAAUAAAGCGGUAAUCAUCUGCGGGCAGAUCUGCAUGCCGAACAGCAUUUGUUUUGCUUGUGGGGGAGUCUGGCAUGCGAUAAUUUAGGUGGGAAUUGUUUGACAAAGCUGGUUAGCUUGAGGAGCGACUCGGUGGAGGGAAUGCACAGCCCCCUUUACACUGGAAAGAGAGAACAUUACUCAUUGUUGAAGUGAUGCAUUGGAAGUGAUAUCAUGGACCUCCAGGGUACAAGCUGAGAAAAGGUCUUUGAUAUAUUUAAAGAACAAACUGUUAAGGAAAUGGGGGAGGGGGGGGAUCGCCUGCUUUUCAGCUGCUCGAAAAAUCAAUGGGCCUGACAGCACAUUUCUGGGCGUAUAUCUUAGUAACGAUAUUUUCAAUCUGCAACCUGUAAUGAGUCUGUAAAACAAACAAAGGUGUACAAAACGGAGAUAAACAGACACGACUUCAUCUGCCGUUCGCGCCGGAUGCUGCCCGGGUACAACCUGGAAUCUCGCCGCACACCUCAUACGGUCCUGCACGUGGGCCAAAGCCCCGCCCCUGUCCUUUGCUGGAGCUGACGGUGAUUGAUGGGAUGGGGGGCGGGGGGGGGGGGGCUGAAUCCACCGGCAUGACUGAGCCACGCUUUGAAGUCACCCAAGAAGGACAUAAAUUGAUAUAUCAGCUUAAGCCGUAGACCCUAUUAAGGUAGUCCCUGGCAGGUUAAUGCGAUACUCCUCACCUUACCUUCCCCUCCAUGAGCGCCACUGCGGCUCCAGGCCAGCAGGCCACAAACCCAUUUUAUUUUUCCACGGGUGACGUUCCUCUGACUGCAGCUGCCCUGACAGGAAAUGGCAACGCGCUGAAUGCUCAGCCGUUAUCCUACGCCCCCCCGGUCUUAGCCUCUGGCCGACAGGCUGGCUUUUCUCUAACAUUAGCCAGGAUUCUGGGACUUGGGCAGCUCAGUCACGGUGUGAUGUUAUGCCCUCCUGACAUCUCCCCCCCCGAGUUAAGCUCCGGUCAAAGCUGCAAUUAAGGGCCCUUUUAGGGUCUCCUGGUGAACCCCGCCUGCCAAGUGUUCAUCUAUUUUUAAUGCCAGGCAGCAUUUUUAAUUUUUAAUUAAUUCACGUGCCCAGUACAGAAUCGGCUCAAACUCUAGGACGCUCACCUCUCUCUGUGUCGCAGUCGGUUCCGCUUUGUUUUCUUUUCCACUCCUCACCUGUACAUGUUGGUCGAUUCCACUUCAUGUCACAGGGGCCAUGGGCUGGGUAGCCACUCUUAGGUGAGGAGAUCAUGAUGUGUGUUUUAUCCAUCUCCCCACAAUCAGCGUCAUGAACCAGUCUGUUCUUUCCCAUGUGGGCCUCUGGUGAAGGGCACCCAUCCUUCUAUCCAGGGAGUCGCACAGCGAAAAGAUGACGGACACAGGAGAUACUACACUGAGGAAAGGGUAGAGAGCAAAAACAAUAACAAUUCCUUCUUCUACAGAGGAAGAUGGAAAAAGAAAGUAGGAUCCCGGCUGCAGAACGUUUGGACCUGGAUGAUUUAGAU